GCCCCCAACUACUCCUUUCCUCAUCUCUACUAUUUGCGAUUGGACUAGGAGAGACCCAAUCCGCUAUCUCAAACGUCCAUUGGAGAGCCGAAACUUCGCUCUCCGACUUGCUAACAGUCGAUUGGUCGAUAGCUCUCCAAAUUCCCCUUCUUUGCCGCACCUUCGCCCGCUCUGAAGAGGUCAAUCUAAUCUCAUUAUUCAGUGACCAGAGAAGUGGAAAACUAUUGGUCGAGAGAGCCCGUCAGGCCGGGCUGGAGUGAGCUCUGAUUGGUCGAUACAGGGGAUAAAGUCUCUGGAAAUGCUUUCACAUCUGGAAAGAAUCAUGGCCUUUCCCCCAUCAUCCAGAGAAGCCUGAAUAUGUCCAGUCUCCUCUGCUCCCAGACUGGGUGAAUUGCAAGCCAAAGCAAGAGAAAUCUUAGAGUGAAGGUUCUAUGUGUGAAGAUCAGACUCUUCUUUCUAUAGGUGGAAGUGCUGAGUCAAACUGUGGAUACCUGAAAAGUGCUGUAAUGUAAAUAAGAUUAAAAAAUUAUUGCCAAAGAGCUCUGUUUUUUGAAGGUAAGAUUAUUUCUAAAUAUCCAAGAAAGGAUAUCCCAGAAGAACUGAAAAAUUAACAACAGUAUUUUAAUCUGGUUAAAAUUCUGGGAAACACUGGAAAUCCCCAGAGCAAAGUGCCAGAUGUCAUUUUUGGAUCCUGGAUACAUGGGCUUGGCUGCUAAGAAGAUGAUGCCUCCUCCCCCCGCCACACUCAGCUGACACCUGAGCAACAGAGAGUUGAUGUAUCAUCUAGUGAACUGUUCAGAUACUACUAAAUUGAAAAGAAACAAAAGAGCAUGAUAAAGGGCUGAUGACACUGUGGUGGUAUUAUUAAAUGAGUAUAGCAUUUUAGGGUCUUACCAGAAUAUAUUGCUGGGAGAGGGGGACAGGAUGCAUGGUCAAUGCUCAAUAAUUGCUUCUAGGAUAAAUAAUACAAAAGCCUAUAUAUUUGUAAGUGUGGGCAUCAGUAUAUAGGCUUUUAUCUACUUGUGGAGUUGAUUAUUUAUCAACUGACUUUAAGAGAUAGUGGAUAGUAAAAUUGAAUGCAGUAAUCAUUUCGAUAUUAAGGUACAAGUUUCACCAAUCUCUUGUCCAUUUGAACAUUUCAUUAGAAUGAUUGAGUCGGAGCAAUGAAGUCAGAAAGGAGCGUUCAUCAAAGCAGUCAAAAAGGCUUUCUACAGGUUUAAAGUGUGAUAACAUUGUAGAAAGUGCUGUGAAGUGAUUCAUGGUUGUAUUUCUUUAGAAAUGAUCCCAAUAUGUCUUUUCACUCUAUGGAAUAUUAAUUUAUCUAUAUUUUGUGUCAGUCACAACACAAGGAACCAGAGAACAAUGAUUGUUUUUACCAUGUACUUAAUGCUAAAAAAAUGCCAUUUGUUUUUCCAUUUACUGUGCAUGUUUAGUAAAAUGGCAUAUGCAGGACAGAUUGUGAAGCAUAUUGAAAUCAAUGUGUAUUGGUUAUGAUUGGUAUAGAUUGAAUAGCCCAGAAACAGAAUGGUGUGCUACAGAUUAAUCUAUUGGACAUUACUUGCAUAAUGCAGAUGAUGUUUGAGGCAAAAUGAGAGGAGAAUGUGCCAAGGGACAGGUGGAUUUCUUACAAUGAUAUGGGGAAUGACAAAAAGAAAUCUAGGUUGUUGUUAUAUGAUAUUAAGUAAGUUGGUAAGAGAGGCAAAAUGAUAAGAGAGGCUAAAGAAGCCUAAACUUUAGAUAGAGAGUGGUAACAGGGAUUGCCAAUAGUUUUUCAAGAUGAGUAAUGAAGAAAAAUAGGAUACUUUGGAAAUAUUAAUGUGAGAGGCUGAUGGACAGAAAUGUGAAAGAAAAAAGCCUGGAUAAUAUUGAUCUGAUCCCUCUAGAAUCUGCAGAGUCAAGAGUGCUAUGAGCUCUGUUUAGGAGUAUUUUGGAAAACAAGAAGCUAGAAGAAGAAGGUAAUAUUUGAGUUUCUAGGAGCAGGAUAAAUACCAAAUUGGCCAAAACAAACAAGAAAACUUGUCCUUAGAGAUCAAAGCAAACUGCCAUUAAGAGGAAAGGGUAUGCCAAUCCUGUAAUUAUGAAUUUGAGGAUAAAUUGGAGUUUAUUUUAUAGAAAAUUUACCUGGUGGAGUCAAUGAUGACUUCCCACCAUCAAUCUGUAUGUGGGUCUUAAAGAGACAAGAGGUUAGGGUGUGGCAAAACUGCCUGGGAAAGUAGAUCCUGGAACACAUGCACAGAACAGUUCCCAAAGCCCUGAACAUAGACUUCUUAUGAGAACUCAAGCAGGUUUUCAAUAAGAUGGCUUAGGCCUGACAUCAGCCUGAGGUGUGGGAUCCCCGCACUGCCUCUCAGGACCCAUAUGUAGAAGUUCUCAUGGGUUUACUUGAGAUGUAGAUGGCAUAAAAGGACACAGAUGCCAAGAAGAGCUUGCUGCUGUGGCUUUCCUCAUGAUGACUAUCCCUGUGUCUGAGAGGAUGUACUUAUAUCUUGGUUUU